GAUGAACGCUGGCGGCGUGCCUAAUACAUGCAAGUCGAGCGAACAGAUAAGGAGCUUGCUCCUUUGACGUUAGCGGCGGACGGGUGAGUAACACGUGGGUAACCUACCUAUAAGACUGGGAUAACUUCGGGAAACCGGAGCUAAUACCGGAUAACAUUUGGAACCGCAUGGUUCUAAAGUGAAAGAUGGUUUUGCUAUCACUUAUAGAUGGACCCGCGCCGUAUUAGCUAGUUGGUAAGGUAACGGCUUACCAAGGCGACGAUACGUAGCCGACCUGAGAGGGUGAUCGGCCACACUGGAACUGAGACACGGUCCAGACUCCUACGGGAGGCAGCAGUAGGGAAUCUUCGGCAAUGGGCGAAAGCCUGACGGAGCAACGCCGCGUGAGUGAUGAAGGGUUUCGGCUCGUAAAACUCUGUUAUUAGGGAAGAACAGAUGUGUAAGUAACUGUGCACGUCUUGACGGUACCUAAUCAGAAAGCCCCGGCUAACUACGUG
rnacentral:rRNA from 1 species